rnacentral:tRNA from 1 species
GCCUGGCUGGCUCAAUUGGUAGAACAUGUGACUCUUGAUCUCAGGGUCGGGAGUUCAAGUCCCACAUCGGGCA